UUAAAUUAUGGACAGUUACGGUGCCCAAAUUGUAUCCAGUGCUUUAUAGUCACCCCAGAUAUGUUUGCUGGUGAUAAAUUUUAAAGUGAUUUGUUAUAAGCAAGUUAGACCUAUUAGUAGCUACUUGUGAACUAUUGAGGGCUAGACUGCUUUACUUCAUGUUAGCGGCUUAGAAAGGUAUAAAGACUUGUUCCCUUUUAGGCAAAGUAAAUUUGAUUCAGAGCAAAGAGUUAGCAUAUACUUAUUUUAAAACAGCAUUUUAUAUUAUUUAAGUAAUUUACCUUUAUGAAUAAAAACUAAAUAGCCAAAAGUUACAGUGAAGACAUAGUUUCUUCAUCGAACCCUGCCUCUACUUUGCAAAAAUGAUCCCUGUUUAUCUAUGAAACCUUCCAGAAAUGUGAUGUGCCUUUACAUUCUUAGCCAUUCAUCUUUAAAAAAGAAAAACAUAGUUAGAUUUACACAGGAUUUAGGUACUACUUAUUUGAGACUCUUUCUCUCAUUUUCUGUCUUCAGAAUUCUUACCUGCUGUAAUUUUCAUUUGAUAUGAUUCAUUCUUAAUCCUACAUCUUAAGUUUAUUAAAGAGGAUUUUGAUGCAUUUAAAAUAUUUUUUUCAGAGAUUGAUCUUUUGGAAAUUAGAAAGCUUGAUGAGGAAAACAUAUAUUUUUAAAGUGCAAAAUUGGAUCAAAUGAGUGGAAAACAGAUUUAGCAUAUCGAAGUCUGAAAAAGUCAAUGAUUUUAACAUU
rnacentral:lncRNA from 1 species